rnacentral:rRNA from 1 species
CCUACGGGUGGCUGCAGUGGGGAAUAUUGGACAAUGGGCGAAAGCCUGAUCCAGCCAUGCCGCGUGUGUGAAGAAGGCCUUCGGGUUGUAAAGCACUUUCAGUGGGGAAGAAAGCCUUGGGGCUAAUACCCUCGAGGAAGGACAUCACCCACAGAAGAAGCACCGGCUAACUCCGUGCCAGCAGCCGCGGUAAUACGGAGGGUGCGAGCGUUAAUCGGAAUUACUGGGCGUAAAGCGCGCGUAGGCGGUCUGAUAAGCCGGUUGUGAAAGCCCCGGGCUCAACCUGGGAACGGCAUCCGGAACUGUCAGGAUAGAGUGCAGGAGAGGAAGGUAGAAUUCCCGGUGUAGCGGUGAAAUGCGUAGAGAUCGGGAGGAAUACCAGUGGCGAAGGCGGCCUUCUGGACUGACACUGACGCUGAGGUGCGAAAGCGUGGGUAGCAAACAGGAUUAGAUACCCUAGUAGUC